rnacentral:rRNA from 1 species
UACGUAGGGUGCAAGCGUUAAUCGGAAUUACUGGGCGUAAAGCGUGCGCAGGCGGUUAUGUAAGACAGAUGUGAAAUGCCCGGGCUUAACCUGGGAACUGCAUUUGUGACUGCAUGGCUAGAGUUUGGCAGAGGGGGGGUAGAAUUCCACGUGUAGCAGUGAAAUGCGUAGAUAUGUGGAGGAACACCGAUUGCGAAGGCAGCUGACUACAGGAACAUUGACACUGAGGCACGAAAGCGUGGGGAUCAAACAGG